rnacentral:rRNA from 1 species
UUGACCUCGGAUCAGGCAGGGAUACCCGCUGAACUUAAGCAUAUCAAUAAGCGGAGGAAAAGAAACCAACAGGGAUUGCCUCAGUAACGGCGAGUGAAGCGGCAACAGCUCAAAUUUGAAAUCUGGCUCUUUUAGGGUCCGAGUUGUAAUUUGUAGAGGAUGCUUCGGCGUCGGCUCCGGUCUAAGUUCCUUGGAACAGGACGUCAUAGAGGGUGAGAAUCCCGUAUGUGAUCGGUUGCCCUUGCCAUGUGAAGCUCCUUCGACGAGUCGAGUUGUUUGGGAAUGCAGCUCUAAAUGGGAGGUAAAUUUCUUCUAAAGCUAAAUACUGGCCAGAGACCGAUAGCGCACAAGUAGAGUGAUCGAAAGAUGAAAAGCACUUUGGAAAGAGAGUCAAAAAGUACGUGAAAUUGUUGAAAGGGAAG